rnacentral:rRNA from 1 species
AUUGAACGCUGGCGGCAGGCCUAACACAUGCAAGUCGAGCGAGCGGCGGACGGGUGAGUAAUGCCUAGGAAUCUGCCUGGUAGUGGGGGAUAACGUCCGGAAACGGGCGCUAAUACCGCAUACCAUCGGAUGUGCCCAGAUGGGAUUAGCUAGUAGGUGGGGUAAAGGCUCACCUAGGCGACGAUCCCUAGCUGGUCUGAGAGGAGGACCGGCCACACUGGCACUGGGACACGGCCCAGACGCCUCCGGGAGGCACCAGUGGGGAAUAUUGCACAAGGGGCGCAAGCCUGAUGCAGCCAUGCCGCGGGUAUGAAGAAGGCCUUCGGGUUUUAAAGUACUUUCAGCGGGGAGGCGUUACCCGCAGAAGAAGCACCGGCUAACUCCGUGCCAGCAGCCGCGGUAAUAC